rnacentral:lncRNA from 1 species
CAUACAUUUGACUUUGGGAAGUUGAAACAGACUCUGUCAGGCUCCCUUUUGCCAGGGCCUUGGAAGAGAUAUGUGACCAACAGCUCUGCCUGCAACCUAGAAGCCUGCUCACAUACAAAAAGUAAUAAGGAAGAUCUGGAAAAAAAAAAAGCCAAAAAAACAAACAAGCUGAUUCUUUUUAAGAACACACCAAAGCCAAAUAACUGCAGUUAGGCGUGAAGUGCCGUCCUUGGGUUUUGAAACAUGCAUCUCUAUAAACCUGCCUGUACAGACAUCCCCAGCCCGAAGCUCGGUCUGCCCAAAUCCAGUGAAUCGGCUCUAAAAUACCGACGGAACCUAACAGUGAACAAGACUCAACCUCAGGCAACUUGCUGGCCUAUUAGGCCCAGUGAAACCACAGAACGGAAAUAUCUGGAGAAGUUUUUACGCGUCCACGGAAUUUCGUUGCAGGAAACCACCAGGGCACAGACGGGUAUGGCCUACAGUUUAUCUUUAAACCUCCCGGAGACAUUGAAGGGGCCAAAUGCAUAUAGUUCAAGAAGAUAAAAAUAAAUUAAAAAGAUGAAGGAAAAAAUAAGGCCAAGAAAGACAAACAAGGAAAAGGAGACAGAGCCAGGGAGAGGUAAGACCGUGGCCAGGCAAGGGUAGCCGUAAGUGUUUGACCCAGAUUUGCCCCUGCAUUUUCU